rnacentral:rRNA from 1 species
GGCGAGUGAACCGGGAAGAGCUCAAAUUUGAAAUCUGGCGUCCUCAGGGCGUCCGAGUUGUAAUCUAUAGAGGCGUUUUCCGUGCCGGACCGUGUCCAAGUUCCUUGGAACAGGAUAUCAAAGAGGGUGACAAUCCCGUACUUGACACGACGACCGGUGCUCUGUGAUACGUCUUCUACGAGUCGAGUUGUUUGGGAAUGCAGCUCAAAAUGGGUGGUGAGUUCCAUCUAAAGCUAAAUAUUGGCGAGAGACCGAUAGCGAACAAGUACCGUGAGGGAAAGAUGAAAAGCACUUUGGAAAGAGAGUUAAACAGUACGUGAAAUUGUUGAAAGGGAAACGAUUGAAGUCAGUCGUGACCGAGAGGCUCAGCCGGUUCUGCCGGUGUAUUCCCCUCGGUCGGGUCAACAUCAGUUUUGUCCGGUGGAUAAGGGCGGUAGGAAGGUGGCACCCUCGGGUGUGUUAUAGCCUGCCGUCGCAUACAUCGGGUGAGACUGAGGAACGCAGCUCGCCUUUAUGGCCGGGGUUCGCCCACGUCCGAGCUUAGGAUGUUGACAUAAUGGCUUUAAACGACCCGUCUUGAACAACC